rnacentral:rRNA from 1 species
ACGAACGCUGGCGGCGUGCUUAACACAUGCCAGUCGAACGGGUCUGCCCUGUUUUUUGCGGGGUGGGUCAGUGGCGAACGGGUGAGUAACACGUGAGUAACCUGCCCCUCACUUCUGGAUAACCGCUUGAAAGGGUGGCUAAUACGGGGUGUUCUGGCUGUGCCGCAUGGUGUGGCUGGGAAAGAUUCACUUUUGUGGUGUUUUGGUGGGGGAUGGGCUCGCGGCCUAUCAGCUUGUUGGCGGGGUGAUGGCCUGCCAAGGCUUUGACGGGUAGCCGGCCUGAGAGGGUGGGCGGUCACACUGGGACUGAGAUACGGCCCAGACUCCUGCGGGAGGCAGCAGUGGGGGGUAUUGCACAAUGGGCGGAAGCCUGAUGCAGCGACGUCGCGUGAGGGAUGGAGGCCUUCGGGUUGUGAACCUCUUUCGCCGGUGAAGAAGGUCCUGCUCUUUGUGGUGGGGUUGACGGUAGCCGGGUUAUGAAGCGCCGGCUAACUACGUG